AUUUGGAAGGUAUUAAUCAAAAAUAUUUAAUUGCCUUUUUAACUUGUUCCUAUUUUUAUGGACUUCAAACUCUUUGAAAGAAUAACAUGCUAACAUUCAAUCUGGGCUUUCUGCAAGAUACUGAAGAUAUAAAGACAAAAUUAAUUCUUAUUCAGAGAGCCUACUUUUACUGUAGAAGACAGCAUCUAAACAAGUAUAUACAAAACAAAUCCAAAUUAAGGGAGUCAAGGAAAAGGUGGAGGGAAGGGGUUGGGCCAUUGCAAAAGCAGUUAGACUAGAAUGCAGAGUAUGGAAAAAGGAGCAAUACCCAAUGAAUGAGAUUUGGAAAGACAGAUUUGAACCAGGUUUUGAAGGGCUUUAAAAGCUAACCACAGGAGUUUUGACCAUAGAUUGUUUUAACUUAGAGGCAGUAGGAAAUCAUUGUAAUACACUGAAUUAGGAGAGUGACAGUUAGAUUUGCACUUCAGGAAAAUUAUUUUAGAAGCUUUGUGGAGGAUGGAUUAGAAUGCAGAGACUUAAGGCAAAUAGACGAAUUAGAAGGACAUUGUGAAAUAGUCAAGGCGAGUGGUUAUGAGGGUCUGAACUAAAAUGGUGGUUAUAGGACUAGGGACAAAGGGACAACUUCUACAAAAGUAGAAAUGACAAGAUUUUGAUUGGAUAUGUGAGUUGGAGGAAAUAAGAGGUCAAGAAUAUGAAGCUGAGAGACUGGAACAUGAUGAUACUUUUGAGAGAUAUGGAGAAAUUUGGUAAGAGGAGGGAAAAUAAUGAAUUCUGUUUUGUAAAUGCUGAACUUGAGAUAUCUCUAGGAUAUCCAGUCUUAAAUGUCCAAUAGGCCAUUGGCAUUGAGGGAUUGUCAAUCAGGAGAGAUAUUGAGGCAGGAUAGAUAGAUCUGAGUCAUUUGGGUAGAGAUAAUAAAUAAACCCACAGGAGCCAAUGAAGUUACCAAGGUAAUGUAGAGAGAAAGAAGAGAAGAGGCCUUAGGAUAGAAUCUUUGGGACACCCUACUAUUAGGGAAUAGGAUAUAGAUGAUAAACUGGCCAAAAUGACUAAGAAAAGGUAAUUGUAUAGGUGGAGGAAAAUGAGGAAGGAGUGGUGUCAUGAAAGUCCAGAGAAGAGAAUAUCCAAGAGAGAGUGGUCAGCAGGGUCUAAUGGAAAAGAAAACAAGAAGGAUGAGGACUGAGAAAAGAGUAUCACUAUCCAACUUGGCAAUUAAAUUAUUUUUAUAACUUUGGAAAGAGUAGUUUCAUUUGAAUGAUGAGAUCUGAAACAUAUUGGGAAGGACUGAGAAAUAAGUGACAGAAAAGUAAGUGGAAGCUUCAAGUCUCCUUUUGAAGAGUUUGAAAGGGAAAAACAUAUUUUGAAGGUUAAUGGGAUUCCAUGAAGUUUCCUUAGGGAUAGAAGAGACUUGAGCAUGCCCAAAAGCAGUUGGGAGAUAACAAGUAGUGUAAACCCUAAAAUUCCUUAGACUUAUAAAUGUUGGAAAUUUCACCAUUGGGAAAUUUCAUACUUGAAAAAUUUCCUAUUGAUAGUGGGUCUUGACUAUUGGAAUGUGAACCCCAUUGGCAUGGGAGGUUCCUUCUCUUCCCUUCUUAAGAUUACUUUAGGACAGAAACCUUUUGCUGAACAAUGGAAAGGACUUUGACCUAUGCUUAAGCAUAGAACAGGAAUUUCUUUGAGUCAUGAUUGAUUUUAGAAUUGAUACAAUGGAGAUACUUGGAAUCAAUCUCCACCCUAUUCAGUCCUAACAGGAUUGAGUAAGGGCUGCAGCCUAGAUCAAAAUUUAAUUAUUCCAAUCUCUACCCUACUCAGGUUAACAGGAUUUAGAAAGGGCUGUAGCAAAGGAGCAAAGAUUUAAUUAUUUGAAAAUAUGACCUUCAACAGACAUGUGCAAAGCCUCUGGGCGGUCCUGGGUUAAGCUAGAGCCUCCAUUGGCGCAGGGAAAUUGAUGGACAGUGAUUCCCUUGUCACAGUAGGUAGAAAUUAAAAACUACAUAGAGAAGAAAGGAGAUGAAGGGAGAUGAGGUGACAAGAGGAAAAUCUGCUAGAAAAAGAUGGGAAGGCAUAAGAUCACGGACAUAUGCUGUAUAAUUAGAAAAAUUUGGACUCCAUCUUUCAAAAUUCUUUCCGCUUCCCAAAAUUCCUUUUCCCUUUCUGCUUAUGUGUGUUCUUAGGUUAUUGUAUAUAAGUUUUUAUAACUCUUCCCUCGCUCUCUUUUUUCCACAUGUGAGGCUGGGUGAGCUCUCUCUGUUUCUCUAGCCUUUUAUUUUCCUUUUUGCUUCAAGGUAUUAUAAAUAAAUCUUAUUAAAUAUAAUACUUGGAGUAUUUCAGAUAUUAAUUUCAAAAUCUACAAUACAGAAGACUUGGUCUUGUCAAGGAGCAGGAUAAUCUCAUCAGAAACCAAAGGAACAGAGAGAUACUAGAGUCAGGUAUAGAAGAUUUUAUAGGUUUUUCUAGUAAAGAAUCUUUUUAAAAGCUAAUGAUAUCCUAAGAGUGUAUACAAAGAGGAUUAGUAUCUAGGACUAGAGAAAUUUUAGUCCUCUGUCUUAAGAUUACAUCUGGAGAAUUUGUUCAGUUCUAGGAUUCACAUUUUAGAAAGAACAUUGAUAAAAGAGAUAGUAUCCAAAAAGGUAAACAAUAUUGAAAUGAUGCUAAUUGAGGGAGGGGGGUGUUAAACCUGGAGAAGAGAAGACUUGGGGAACAGUGGCAUACUUCCUUCCAAUUCCCAAUGUUUGAAACUUCAUGUAAUGGAGGGAGAGAAAUGGAGUCCUCCACCACUGAGUUCAAGACCAGAGUGUGGUAAAGAUGGAAUAGAGCCAAAGGUGGAGAGAGGGAAUAGAUUGGUUUCCCUCUCUUUUUCCCUGGUAAACCUUACACUGGUUGCCCUCAGAAUCACAGAUUACUAUUCCCUCAGAAACUUGACUGAAAUAGAAUACAGAGCAGACAGCUUCUCCCUCUCUGAGAGAAGUAUAACCUUCCUUCCCCCAGACUCUGAGUCUCCCUUCUUGGAUACUAUGAAACAGGUGCUUGAUUUCAUAACCAGCUAUUUAUUCUAAAGAAAUGUAUAAAAGGUAGGACAAGUGAGUUGUUGGAUAUGGUACUAGGAAGGUGGGAAAUAGGAAGUCCCUAAAGUAACAAUUGAACCUCUUCUCCCCAAGUCCUGGAGGGUCAGGCUUUGCCUGCCUGACCCUCUGGGGUCAAUUAUGAGAGUUGUCCUGAUUCCUAGCUGUCCUAGCUAUAAUAUCAGUUCAAGGACUGUCUAUAGGGAUUGAGAGGAAAUCUUAUGGUGAAUAGCUUUCUGGCAAAAUCCUAUUCACUCUGGUUUGUCUUCACUGGAUACUGAGGUCUGGCUUCACAGGAGGAUGCUUCAGGCUCAGAAGUUCUCUCAUAUCAUCCUCCCUGGUGGGCUUCCCAAAGAGAAGUGAUUUCAACUGUUUGGGUCUUCUCAGUUCCUCUGUUCCUUCUCUCUCCUUCCUGCCCUUCCCCUACUUGAGAUGGUCUUCCAGUAUGAUGAAUAUGCUUUCCUCUCUUACAUUCAUAAUACUUGAUUCCUCUUUCUCAUUUCCCCAUAUGAGUUCAUAUUGAAUUAGUUGACAAGUUUCAUCAAUUCUUCAUCAACAUCUCACAUCCAUCUCUUUCUUUCCACUUAGAGGCUUCUCCAGACCUUCACCAACCUCCACCAACCUCUUUCCUGGACUUUCACUAAUUGUUCUCCUUCUUGAUGUCUUUUGUCUCUUCCCCUCUCCAAUCUGUCUUCCACACAAAGCCCAAGAAAUAUCCAGGAGUAGCUGUCCUUCAGGCAGUUGAUUCUAUUAGCAUGGAGCUCUGGGUAAAGGUGAAAACUACAAAGAAAGAUUUGGGUCAUCUGCAUAGAGAUAAUUAAUUGAAUCAAAGGGGAGCUGAGAAAAUCAUUGAGAAAGUACUGAGAGAAGAGAUGGCCAUGGACAAAACCCUAGGUUACACCUAUGAAAAGGAGAUAGGAUCAUGAUUCAACAAAGAAUACUGUAAGAGGGUCAGAAUGGGACUGAGAACACUCAAAAGAGAAAGUAUCCAAGAGAGUGGGAAGAAGAGUCUUUAGUGCCAAAAGCUUCAUCAGGAUCAGGGAGGAUGAAGAUUCAGAAAAGGUUUCUGAAUUGAUUGACUAAUUAAACCAUCAAUAAAGGCAAGUGGUCAAAGGAUAUAAUAAAUAAUUCUCAAAAGAAAAAGUUUGAACUAUUAUCAACUGUAUGAAAGACUGCUUCAAAUCAGUUAUGAGAGAAAGACAAAUCAGAACAAAUCUGAUAUUUCACUUCACAUCCAGAGAAGUGGAAAGAAACUAUGAUAAAAGAUGAGAAUACUCAAUGCUGGAGGUACUUUGAAAAGAUAUUCACACUGAUUAUUCAUGAAGUUUUAAAUUAGUAGAACCAUUCUGGAAACAAUUUGAAUUAUGCAACAACAAAACAAAUCCUGACCAAUUGUCCUAUUUCAUUUGACCCAGAUAACCCUGUUAGACAUUUGCCCAAGGAGGUUAAAUAUAGAAAGAAAUAUCUGAUAUAUGCAAAAAUAUCAAUAGCUUUUUUGUGGUGGCAAAGAAUUGGAAAUAAAGUAGAUCUCCAUUGAUUUAAGGAAUAGUUUUACAAAUUGUGCGUCAUGAAUAAAAUUGCCUAACAGCAAGAAAGGAUGAAAAUGAAGACUGUGUGGAAAUAACAAGAAAAAUGAUAAAUUGAUCCUGAAUAAAAAUAAGCAGAACUAGGAAUAAUAGAGUAUACACAGUGACUAACAAUCUAAAUGGAAAGAACAAAAGACCCAAAUUUUAUACCCUUUAACUAUGCUGACCAACCUUGUUCCCAAAUAAGAGUUGAGAAAAUAUUCCUCUCUCUCCUUUUGUGAUUAUUGCUGUGGAACAUUUCAUCAACUUCAUAUUUUGGUUGAUAUGAAUUUUGUUGUAAAUGGUGCCUUCCUAAGUUAAACAAGUGAAGAA